rnacentral:rRNA from 1 species
AUGAAAAUCGGAGAAGCUCCUACAGAAGAUGAGGCAUAUGGAACCUCCCAUGCAGAAUCUCAGUUCCACCAAGAUGAGCCUGUUGGAAGAAAGUGGUUUGAGCUACUCAAAGCACAGAAAUCAGCCAGCGCACCAUCGUUGAGAGGCCAAGGAUGUCAGACGAGAGAAGCAAACGACGACGCAUCAGCCAUAUGUGGAGUAGUGACAGAUAAUGGGUACUGCAAACUGGCACCAGUGACAGGAAGGGAAAGAUGCGAGGAGCACGGAGGAAUUGAGGUCACUGGUGCUUCAUCGGCACCAUGUUCCGGAAGGUCGGGAUGGCCAUCUGUCUGUGGAGCUCGAGCAUCCGAUGGUUCACCUUGCAAGAAUCAGCCAAUCGCAAGGAGGAAGAGAUGUGCGUUGCACAAAGGUCAAAGAGGGUGCUGCGCCUCCACGCCAUCCAUCAAAUAA